rnacentral:lncRNA from 1 species
CGGGGGGUCUCUCCACAUGAUUCCUUUGUGCCCGCUGCUGAGUGGGGAUGGUAAUGGGGAGUGGGAUGGGGAGCAGGGAUGGGGAUGGGGAGNNNNNNNNNNNNNNNNNNNNNNNNNNNNNNNNNNNNNNNNNNNNNNNNNNNNNNNNNNNNNNNNNNNNNNNNNNNNNNNNNNNNNNNNNNNNNNNNNNNNNNNGAUGGGGAGCAGGGAUGGGGAUGGGGAGUGGGAUGGGGAUGGGGAGCAGGGAUGAGGAUGGGUAGUGGGAUGGGGAUGGGGAGCAAGGAUGAGGAUGAGGAUGGGGAGAGGGAUGGAGAGCAGGGAUGAGGAUGGGGAGUGGGCUGGGGAGCAGGGAUGAGGGUGAGGAUGGGGAGAGGGAUGGGGAGCAGGGAUGAAGAUGGGGAGAGGGAUGGGGCUGGGGAGCAGGGAUGAGGAUGAGGAUGGGGAGAGGGAUGGGGAGCAGGGCUGGGGCUGGGGAGUGGGCUGGGGAGCAGGGAUGAGGGUGAGGAUGGGGCUGGGGAGCGGGGCUGGGGAGUGGGGUGGGGGGCUGGAGCGGUGCUCGGCGCUGCGCAGCCCGGGGCCGGGACCGGGUUUGGGCAGCGGGGCUGGAGCGGUGCCCGGCGCUGCGCAGGGCGGGCAGGGCCGGUGUUUAGGACCCGGCGGGACGAGGCGGCGCCGGUGCCGGUCCCGCCCCGGCCCCAUUGUCUGGGCGCGGAGGCGGAGGGACGGGAGCGGCGGCCGCCGCUCGCACGGACGCGCCGCGGAGCCCGCCCGGCCAUGGCCCCCGCACCGGCACCGGCACCGGCACCGGCCCCGGGGACCCGGCUGGCGCUGCUGGCCGCCGCCCUGCUCUGCGCCUCGGCCACGGGCGACGGGGACCCCCCAGAUCCCGUCUACCUGCCGGCGGAUCUGGAGCUGCUCGGCGUGCCCGAGUACUACCGGCUGCAGCGGGCAGACCAGGACCUGCCCGCCAACACCUCCCUGCACGCCCGCACCGAGACCUACCUGCUGCUGCGGCACGGCUCCGCCACGCAGCCCCUCGUCCAGGCCACCUACCCACCCUUCAGCACCCGGCAGGAGGUGCCCACGGAGAAUCCCCCGGGAAGGGACGGCUCGGCAGCUUGGGCCAUCCGUGCCGUGUCCCUCGAGAGCGCCGUGUCCCCGGCCGAGCCCUUCGCCCGCGUCCUCUUCCAUCUGCGAGGUCCCGACUGGCUGCCCGGGCAGCGGGACCACCCCGGGGAGCGGGACCACCCCAGGGAGUGGGAUCGCCCCGGGGAGCGGGACCACCCCGGGGAGCGGGACCUGCCCUGCGUCGCCCUCCACGCACACCACCGUGGCCGGGUGGCCCGUGGGAUGUGUCGCCUGCAGGCACCCCUGGGCGCCUGCGUGGUGGAGCUGGAGAUCCCCCCGCGCUGGUUCUCUCCGGCAUCCCCUGCCCCGCGCAGCCGCCGCCGGGCAGCCGAGUCCCCCAGGCACCCCGAGACCCCCGAGUCCGCCGAGCUGCACUACGGCGUGGUGGGACCGGGGGAGUGCGGCCGUGCCGGGGGCCGGGAACGGAGCCGCGGCGCGGAAGCACCGUGGUACCUGGGCUCGCUGGAACUACGGGCGGCCGAACCGGCGCGACGGCAGGAGGUCCGGCUGGACGACAAGGUGCUGUUGCGGGUGCCCGACGCCACGCUUCGCCCGGGUCAGCGCUUCACCGCCACCCUCGCCCUGCGGCACAACUUCACCGCCGACCAACUGACGCUUCGGUGAGACCCCCCACCCCCGGGGCCGGGCAGGGGACCCCCGUGGAGGGUGGCACGUGCCGGGAGGGGGACGUUGCGUGACGGGGGUCCGCCGGCAGGAUCAAGGCGAAGAAGGGGCUGCAGGUGGUGGCUGCCCGCCCCGGGGCCCCCACCGCCUGGACCGCCCAGCUGGAGCGCACCCGGGGCCCCAAGCACUCGACGGCCGUGGUGACGUGCCGGCGGAGCGGGGACUCUCGCGGUGGCUGGAGGUAGGGAACGGCACGGCACCCCGGCUCCUGGGGUCCCCCGCUAUGGGAGGGGGCUUCUGCAUGGGGGCCCAGUGCAGCC